rnacentral:rRNA from 1 species
CUACGGGGGGCUGCAGUGAGGAAUAUUGCACAAUGGGGGGAACCCUGAUGCAGCAACGCCGCGUGGAGGAUGACGCAUUUCGGUGUGUAAACUCCUUUUAUAUGUCAAGAAAAUGACGGUAGCAUAUGAAUAGGCACCGGCUAACUCCGUGCCAGCAGCCGCGGUAAUACGGAGGGUGCAAGCGUUACUCGGAAUCACUGGGCGUAAAGGACGCGUAGGCGGGAUAUCAAGUCAGGUGUGAAAUCCUACAGCUUAACUGUAGAACUGCACUUGAAACUGGUAACCUAGAGUAUGGGAGGGGGAGAUGGAAUUAGUGGUGUAGAGGUAAAAUCCGUAGAUAUCACUAGGAAUACCUAAAGCGAAGGCGAUCUCCUGGAACAUAACUGACGCUAAGGCGUGAAAGCGUGGGGAGCAAACAGGAUUAGAUACCCUUGUAGUC